UUUCUAAUCGCAAUUCAACAGAACGAAAUUUCCACUGUGCCGCUUAAUUUCAGUCAAUUUAUGUCUCGCGUAUAUGGCGAUCCAAAGCUAAUCCAGAAACGUUUUUUACCUCAAAUUUUUUGCCAGCUUCACGAAGUAGAUUCUCUGUACCCUCAAAUAAUGGUUGAUAGCACGUUAGCUGAACUUACGAGUUUUACUUUGUGGAAUGAACAUAUUCACGACGAUUUGGAUUCGCAUGCAAGAUGUUUUAGUGCGGAGCUGUUCCUUUCACUAAGCUUCUCAGGGGUUCUAUCGAUGGAUAAUCUUGAUAACGAACUUAACACACCAGCUCGACCGCCCUUGCAGCUUGGACUUCGCUGAAUUGUAUCUUCUGGCAAUACUGAAGAAGUACAAAAUUGCUACGAAGACAAACUAUGCGACGUAUUUCAGAUAUUUGGAACAGCUGUGUGAUUUGUACAUGAGCAACUUGGAGACACUGGCAAGUGAAAGUAAAAGGAACCAAAAGCGACUAGGAUGCGUUCUUUUGAAACCAUCGCUGGUUGGGGCAGUGUUGACUCUUCUAGUUCUGAGAGAAUUCUUCAUGGACACAUCAAUAGACAUGGACGAGAUGUACAGAUGUCUAAAAGAGGUGUCUGAUUGCUCUUUAACAGAAAUAGCUAAACUUGCCAAACAUUUCAUCAAUACUUGUUUUGUUGACAUUGAAAGUGAUGAUGGUUCGAGUUAAUGGUUUACAGAAUUAAUUUUUUUUACUUGAACUCAGAAAUUAUAUAUUUGGAAUUUA